rnacentral:lncRNA from 1 species
AUGUGUUGCUGGAACUUCAGUUCAUCUUGGGAACAAUACCCAACUGUCCUCUUUUGUUUUUGCUUUGGGGUGUUUUUUAAAUUAUAUGUUAAUUCAUUUAACACUAUAUCAUUUUUGAUAUAUUUGAAUUUAGGUAUAUCACAUUAUUAUUUGUUUUAUAUUUGUCCUCUGUUUUUCAUCCUUCUAUUGUACCUUUCUUGUCUUCUUUUGAGCUCGUUGAACUUUUUUUAGCAUUUAGUUUUAUUUAUCUUUUGUGAUUUUUACUAUAUCUCUCUGAAUUUUUUUGUUUUGUUUUGGCGGUUGCUCCAUGGAUUAUAAAGUGCUUACUUAACAUUUCAUAGUUUACCUAGAAUCAGUAUUUUACUAUUUUAACUGGAACUUUUAGCCCUCCAAUUUACACUAUAGUUUGUUACAUACUAUGUCUUUAUAAAUUGAGAAUGAAAUUUAUUUCAAAUGCCUUCAUUACUAAGGAAUAUUUUUGCUGAAUAAUGAUCUGGAUUGACAGUUCUUUUCUUUCAACAUUUUAAAAAUGGUGUUCCAGUAGUUAUUACUCAAAUAAAUAUAAUUGAAGGCUUGUAGGUGAGGGAUUUUUCUAAAGCAGCUUGGGAAAAAUAGUGGGCCUGCCUACGCUAUGGGUGCUUGCUGCUGAUUGGUUGCAGCAGAGAUUAAAUCAUAGCAGGUCAAAGCUGUCUCUUGAGCUGAGUAGCUCAUUGGUGGAGCAACAGUAGCAGUUUGGUGGGUCCAGGUGGAGCCAUCAGUGUCAGACAUGCAAAAAACUUAAAAAGAUAUUUCAAAAGGCCAAUGUACAAUAGUGAUGUUAUCUGAAAGAGAAAUUGGGGAAUUUGCAAAUCCUGUGACCAGUAUAUACCUUAGCAGAAUUCAGCUCCUCUCUUCCCCCUAGCCUGGUGAUCUUUCAUUAGCUUUAUAAAGGCAGUUGAGUUUUGGGGAAGAACUAUUAUAAUUUAAACUAUAAUUUAAAUAUCUUCCAAAGUUAGCUUGGCCUAAGACUAAAAAUAAUUAAGGUAGCUCGAAACCUAAAGGCAAGAGUAGGGAUUGGUUAGAUUAAAUCUCCCCCGCUGCCAUAUUUCCUUGCUGAUAUAAUUUCUGCAAAGGCAAGCUCAUAAUCAGUCCAUAUCUUUUUUGGAGGGCAAUUUGGCAGUAUCUAUUAAAUAUGAAAAUAUGUGUACUUUUGAUUCAGUAGUUCUACUAUAAGAAAUGAAUGCUACAGAAAUACUAUUAAUAUUGCCCAAUAAAUUUGUAUAUGACAAUAAAU